AGAGUUUGAUCAUGGCUCAGGACGAACGCUGGCGGCGUGCUUAACACAUGCAAGUCGAGCGGGGAUAAUGAAACUGAGAGCUUCGGCAGGAUGAUUUGUUAUUCUAGCGGCGGACGGGUGAGUAACGCGUGAGCAAUCUGUCCCAGACAGGGGGAUAACACUUGGAAACAGGUGCUAAUACCGCAUAAGACCACGAUGCCACAUGUCAUUGAGGUAAAAGGAGCGAUCCGGUUUGGGGUGAGCUCGCGUCCGAUUAGCUAGUUGGCGAGGUAACGGCCCACCAAGGCGACGAUCGGUAGCCGACCUGAGAGGGUGAUCGGCCACAUUGGAACUGAGACACGGUCCAAACUCCUACGGGAGGCAGCAGUGGGAAUAUUGGGCAAUGGGCGAAAGCCUGACCCAGCAACGCCGCGUGAGGGAAGACGGUUUUCGGAUUGUAAACCUCUGUCCUCAGGGACGAAGGAAGUGACGGUACCUGAGGAGGAAGCCCCGGCUAACUACGUGCCAGCAGCCGCGGUAAUACGUAGGGGGCGAGCGUUGUCCGGAAUGACUGGGCGUAAAGGGCGUGUAGGCGGCCGAUUAAGUAUGGAGUGAAAGUCCAUUUUUCAAGGGUGGAAUUGCUUUGUAGACUGGUUGGCUUGAGUGCGGAAGAGGUAAGUGRAWUYCCCAGUGUAGCGGUGAAAUGCGUAGAGAUUGGGAGGAACACCCAGUGGCGAAGGCGACUUACUGGGCCGUAACUGACGCUGAGGCGCGAAAGCGUGGGGAGCGAACAGGAUUAGAUACCCUGGUAGUCCACGCGGUAAACGAUGAGUGCUAGGUGUAGCGGGUAUCGACCCCUGCUGUGCCGCAGUAAACACAAUAAGCACUCCGCCUGGGGAGUACGGCCGCAAGGUUGAAACUCAAAGGAAUUGACGGGGGCCCGCACAAGCAGCGGAGCAUGUUGUUUAAUUCGAUGCAACGCGAAGAACCUUACCAGGUCUUGACAUCCAAUUAAGCCCAUAGAGAUAUGGGGUCUCUUCGGAGGAAUUGAGACAGGUGGUGCAUGGUUGUCGUCAGCUCGUGUCGUGAGAUGUUGGGUUAAGUCCCGCAACGAGCGCAACCCUUGCCAUUAGUUGCUACGUAAGAGCACUCUAAUGGGACUGCCGUUGACAAAACGGAGGGAGGUGGGGACGACGUCAAAUCAUCAUGCCCCUUAUGACUUGGGCUACACACGUACUACAAUGGUCGUUAACAGAGGGAUGCGAAGGAGCGAUCCGGAGCCAACCCCCAAAAACGAUCCCAGUUCAGAUUGCAGGCUGCAACUCGCCUGUAUGAAGUUGGAAUUGCUAGUAAUCGCAGAUCAGCAUGCUGCGGUGAAUACGUUCCCGGGCCUUGUACACACCGCCCGUCACACCAUGGGGGCCGGUAAUACCCGAAGUCAGUAGUCUGACCGCAAGGAGGACGCUGCCGAAGGUAGGAUUGGCGACUGGGGUGAAGUCGUAACAAGGUAACCGUA
rnacentral:rRNA from 1 species